rnacentral:misc_RNA from 1 species
CGUAGGUGAACCUGCGGAAGGAUCAUUACCGAGUGAGGGCCCUCUGGGUCCAACCUCCCACCCGUGUCUAUCGUACCUUGUUGCUUCGGCGGGCCCGCCGUUUCGACGGCCGCCGGGGAGGCCCUGCGCCCCCGGGCCCGCGCCCGCCGAAGACCCCAACAUGAACGCUGUUCUGAAAGUAUGCAGUCUGAGUUGAUUAUCGUAAUCAGUUAAAACUUUCAACAACGGAUCUCUUGGUUCCGGCAUCGAUGAAGAACGCAGCGAAAUGCGAUAAGUAAUGUGAAUUGCAGAAUUCAGUGAAUCAUCGAGUCUUUGAACGCACAUUGCGCCCCCUGGUAUUCCGGGGGGCAUGCCUGUCCGAGCGUCAUUGCUGCCCUCAAGCACGGCUUGUGUGUUGGGCCCCCGUCCCCCUCUCCCGGGGGACGGGCCCGAAAGGCAGCGGCGGCACCGCGUCCGGUCCUCGAGCGUAUGGGGCUUUGUCACCUGCUCUGUAGGCCCGGCCGGCGCCAGCCGACACCCAACUUUAUUUUUCUAAGGUUGACCUCGGAUCAGGUAGGGAUACCCGCUG